ACGUAGGAGGCGAGCGUUAUCCGGAUUUACUGGGCGUAAAGCGCGUGUAGGCGGUUCGGUGAGUUGGAUGUGAAAGCUCCUGGCUUAACUGGGAGAGGUCGUUCAAUACUGCCGGACUAGAGGAUGGGAGAGGGAGGUGGAAUUCCGGGUGUAGUGGUGAAAUGCGUAGAUAUCCGGAGGAACACCAGUGGCGAAAGCGGCCUCCUGGCCCAUCUCUGACGCUCAGACGCGAAAGCUAGGGGAGCGAACGG
rnacentral:rRNA from 1 species